rnacentral:rRNA from 1 species
UACGUAGGCAGCGAGCGUUGUUCGGAAUUACUGGGCGUAAAGAGUGUGUAGGCGGUGCUCUAAAUUCGGUGUGAAAUCUCCUGGCUUAACUGGGAGGGUGCGCCGGAAACUGGAGUGCUCGAACGUGGGAGAGGAAAGCGGAAUUCCUGGUGUAGCGGUGAAAUGCGUAGAUAUCAGGAGGAACACCUGCGGUGUAGACGGCUUUCUGGACCAUUGUUGACGCUGAGACACGAAAGCGUGGGUAGCAAACAGG